rnacentral:piRNA from 1 species
UGAAUUUGGGAAAGAGCUCAUACAGGCCUGGC